ACGAACGCUGGCGGCGUGCUUAACACAUGCAAGUCGCACGGAAAGGCCCUGCUUUUGUGGGGUGCUCGAGUGGCGAACGGGUGAGUAACACGUGAGUAACCUGCCCUUGACUUUGGGAUAACUUCAGGAAACUGGGGCUAAUACCGGAUAGGAGCUCCUGCUGCAUGGUGGGGGUUGGAAAGUUUCGGCGGUUGGGGAUGGACUCGCGGCUUAUCAGCUUGUUGGUGGGGUAGUGGCUUACCAAGGCUUUGACGGGUAGCCGGCCUGAGAGGGUGACCGGCCACAUUGGGACUGAGAUACGGCCCAGACUCCUACGGGAGGCAGCAGUGGGGAAUAUUGUACAAUGGGCGGAAGCCUGAUGCAGCAACGCCGCGUGCGGGAUGACGGCCUUCGGGUUGUAAACCGCUUUCGCCUGUGACGAAGCGUGAGUGACGGUAAUGGGUAAAGAAGCACCGGCUAACUACGUG
rnacentral:rRNA from 1 species